UGGGGAAUUUUGGACAAUGGGCGAAAGCCUGAUCCGGCAAUGCCGCGUGUGUGAAGAAGGCCUUCGGGUUGUAAAGCACUUUUGUCCGGAAAGAAAUCCUUGGCUCUAAUACAGUCGGGGGAUGACGGUACCGGAAGAAUAAGCACCGGCUAACUACGUGCCAGCAGCCGCGGUAAUACGUAGGGUGCAAGCGUUAAUCGGAAUUACUGGGCGUAAAGCGUGCGCAGGCGGUUUGCUAAGACCGAUGUGAAAUCCCCGGGCUCAACCUGGGAACUGCAUUGGUGACUGGCAGGCUAGAGUAUGGCAGAGGGGGGUAGAAUUCCACGUGUAGCAGUGAAAUGCGUAGAGAUGUGGAGGAAUACCGAUGGCGAAGGCAGCCCCCUGGGCCAAUACUGACGCUCAUGCACGAAAGCGUGGGGAGCAAACAGGAUUAGAUACCCUGGUAGUCCACGCCCUAAACGAUGUCAACUAGUUGUUGGGGAUUCAUUUCCUUAGUAACGUAGCUAACGCGUGAAGUUGACCGCCUGGGGAGUACGGUCGCAAGAUUAAAACUCAAAUGAAUUGACGGGGUCAUAGCUGUUUCCU
rnacentral:rRNA from 1 species